rnacentral:rRNA from 1 species
ACCGUGUUAGAGGCACAGAGCUUCUACGUAGGUCGAGGUGAGAUUCAUCACUGAAGCGCACGGACGAGUGGAAGUACUUAGGCAACAACUUCACUGCAACCGGAAGGGUUCGAUGCAAUCCGGCCGAGGACAUUGAUCAAAGCUACAAAGAUUGACAAAGGCCCCCUCAAACCACAACAGAGGUUGUUCGCCCUUCGGACUGUCCUUAUCCCACAGCUAUACACAAGUUAGCCUUGGGAGUGUGGCGAUAGGAGUCCUACGAAAAACUGACAAACUUAUAAGAUACUAUGUGCGAAGAUGGCCAAAUCUUCCGCUGGAUGUGCCGAUAGCAUUUGUUCAUGCACCCCCAAAAAGUUGAGGUCUCGGAAUUCCAUCACUAAGAUGGGUAGCUCCAAUGUUAAGGCUAAGACGAUUGAGUAACAUUAAAUGGCCUCACCUCACGCAAAACGAGGUAGCCAGCUCUUUCCUCGAAGCCGAAAAACAACGGGCCCGAGAUAGAUUAUUAGCUGAACAAAAUGAAUUGUUUAUCGCGUCCGGCAAUAGAAAAAUAUUGGGCGAACAAGUUGUACUUCUCAGUUGAUGGUAGCGGACUCCGUGAAGCGGUCCAUUAUAGCCCGCAACACGGGUGGGUUAGACAACCACGCGUUUAUUAACAGGAAAGAAUAUAUAGACGGUAUUCGUCUGCGGAUAAAUGCCCUACCCACAAAGUCUCGUACUACAAGGGGAAGGCCACGAAUGGAACGACAGUGUCGUGCAGGAUGUGAUCUCCGAAACAACAAACCACAUAAUGCAAAAUGCUACCGCUCGCAUGGGAGGCGGAUAGCUAGACACAACUGCGUAGUAAAUCGAAUCAAGCGGGGACUUGAGGAGAGAGCUGCGUGGUCAUUGUUGAACAAGUCUGCAGUGCGAAUCCGGCUUAAUAAACCAGAUCUGGUGGCACUACGACAAAAUCACAUUGAUGUGAUCGACAUACCAAAUUGUGACAGACGGACACUCAAUGGAUGAUGCACACCAGGGCAAAAUCAAUAGAUACGACAGGCCGGACAUACGAACUGAAUUGCGUCGCAGAUUCGAAGCCGCAGGUGACAUUGAAUUCCAUUCUGCCACCCUGAACUGGAGGGGAUCUGGAGUGGUCAAUCCGUUAAAAGAUUGAUAGCAAAGGGUCUCCUCAGAAAAUAUGAUAGUCAUAUCAUUAAAUAAAUAAAUAAAAUAAAUAGCCAAAUGCCUCUUCAUCUAAUUAGUGACGCGCAUGAAUGGAUUAACGAGAUUCCUACUGUCCCUAUCUACUAUCUAGCGAAACCACAGCCAAGGGAACUGCCUUGGAAUAAUUAGCGGGGAAAGAAGACCCUUUUGAGCUUGACUCUAAUCUGGCAGUGUAAGGAGACAUAAGAGGUGUAGAAUAAGUGGGAGAUAUUAGACCUCGGUUUGGUAUCGUCAAUGAAAUACCACUAAUCUUAUUGUUUCCUUACUUACUUGAUUAAAUGGAACGUGUAUAAUUUCCUAGCCAUUAUACGGAUAUAUUUAUUAUAUCUUAUGGUAUUGGGUUUUGGUGCAAGCUUCUUGAUCAAAGUAUCACGAGUUUGUUAUAUAUAUAUCGCAAACAAAUUCUUUAAUAAAAGGAUGCAUUUAUGUAUUUUUGAUUUGAAAAUUGGUAUAACUCCAAUUACUCAGGUAUGAUCCAAUUCAAGAACAUUGCCAGAUAGGGAGUUUGACUGGGGCGGUACAUCUCUCAAAUAAUAACGGAGGUGUCCCAAGGCCAGCUCAGUGCGGACAGAAACCACACAUAGAGCAAACGGGCAAAUGCUGACUUGAUCUCGGUGUUCAGUACACACAGGGACAGCAAAAGCUCGGCCUAUCGAUCCUUUUGGUUUAAAGAGUUUUUAACAAGAGGUGUCAGAAAAGUUACCAUAGGGAUAACUGGCUUGUGGCGGCCAAGCGUUCAUAGCGACGUCGCUUUUUGAUCCUUCGAUGUCGGCUCUUCCUAUCCAUGUGGAGCAAAUUCACCAAGCGUUGGAUGUUCACCCAGGGAACGUGAGCUAGGUUUAGACCGUCGUGAGACAGAUUAGUUUUACCCUACUAAUGACAAAACCUUGUUGCGACAGUAAUCCUGCGUAGUACGAGAGGAACCGCAGGUACGGACCAAUGGCACAAUACUUGUUCGAGCGAACAGUGGUAUGACGCUACGUCCGUUGGAUUAUGCCUGAACGCCUCUAAGGUCGUCUCCGUGCUGGACUGCAAUGAUAAAUAAGGGGCAAUUUGCAUUGUAUGCCUUCUAAACCAUUUAAAGUUUAUAAUUUACUUUAUAAACGACAAUGGAUGUGAUGCCAAUGUAAUUUGUAACAUAGUAAAUUGAGAGGAUUUUCGAUCACAUGAUGACGCGCUAGUUACAUAU